AGCGUUGUUCGGAAUUACUGGGCGUAAAGGGCUCGUAGGCGGCCAACUAAGUCAGACGUGAAAUCCCUCGGCUUAACCGGGGAACUGCAUCUGAUACUGGAUGGCUUGAGUCCGGGAGAGGGAUGUGGAAUUCCAGGUGUAGCGGUGAAAUGCGUAGAUAUCUGGAGGAACACCGGUGGCGAAGGCGGCAUCCUGGACCGACACUGACGCUGAGGAGCGAAAGCCAGGGGAGCAAACGGG
rnacentral:rRNA from 1 species